UGGUGACAGGCUCCAUUUUGUCAGCAGCAGCCUUUGAGUUUUGAUUACUCUCAAAACCGUUAAGCUUGCAUUGGAUUUACAGGACCAACUACAUUGAAUUGGAAGUUGUUUCAGAGUAGGCGUACCCUAAUGCACUUUCAACCAUUCAAACUUCAAUUAAUGUUGCGGUAUCACGUAAUGGUCGCAAUGCAGUCUUGGUUAUUUGCCUUCAUUUUCAUGAUUGUUUCGUUCAGGGUUGUGAUGCAUCUCUUUUGCUAGGAGGUGCUGGCAGUGAGAAGGAGUCACCAGCCAAUGAUGGUGUGUUGGGAUAUGAUGUUAUAGAUGUUGCUAAAGCUGCAGUCGAGAGUGUAUGUCCUGGAGUUGUAUCGUGUGCUGAUAUACUCGCGGUUGCAGCUCGUGAUGCUUCUGUCGUGGUUGGGGGGCAGUCAUGGACCGUAAGACUUGGAAGAAGAGAUUCUCCAGAUUCAAACGCGGCAGAAGCCGCAACUGAUCUUUCAAGAGGGAAUAUGAAUUUAGGUGAACUUAUCAGCAACUUUGCUAAUAAGGGACCUAACAC